rnacentral:lncRNA from 1 species
GGGAACCUACUGCCUUGAAGGGAAGAACCCAUUCCUGGCAGCAUUCAUCACCUGCUAACUGAAGAGCCCUUGGGCACUGAAUAAUCAGCAGCGAUACCCAGACACAGAUGAACAUCUACAAGUAUCAAGAUAAUCCAGGAAAACAUGGCCUCAUCAAAUGAAUUAAUAAGGCACUAGGGACCCAAUCUUGGAGAAACAGAGACAGGUGACCUUUCAGACAGAUAAUUCAAAAUAGCUCUUUUAAGGAAACUCAAAGAAAUUCAAGAUAAGACAGAAAAUUCAAAAUUCUAUCAGAUAAAUUUAACAGAGAUUGACAUAAUUAAAAAGAAUCUAAAAGAAAUUCUGGAGCUGAAAAAUGCAAUUGGCAUAAGGAAGAAUGUAUCAGAGUCUCUUAAUGGCAGAAAUGAUCAAGCAGAAGAAAGAAUUAGUGAGCUCCAAGACAGGCUAUUUAAAAAUACACAGUCAGAGAAGACAAAAGAAUAAAGAAUAAAAAACAAUGAAGCAUGCCUACAGGAUCCAGGAAAUAGCCUCAAAAUGGCAAAUUUAAGAGUAAUUUGCCUUAAGAAGGAGGAAGAAAAAGAGACAGGAGUAGAAAGUUAUUCAAAGGGAAAUAACAAAGAACUUCCCAAGCUUAGAGAAAGAUAUCAAUAUCCAAAUACAAGAAGGUUAUAUAGGACACCAAGCAGAUUUAAUCCAAAGAAGACUACCUCAAGGCAUUUAAUAAUCAGACUCCUAAAGAUCAAGGUUAAAGAAUGGAUCCUAAAAGCAGCAAGAUAAAAAAACAAAUAACAUACAAUGAAGCAUCAAUACAUCUGGCAGUAGACUUUUCAGUGGAAACCUUAAAGGCCAAGAGUGAGGGGCAUGACAUAUUGAAAGUGCUGAAGGAGAAAAACUUUUAUUCUAGAAUAGUAUGUCUGGUGAAAACAUUCUUCAAACAUGAAAAAGAAAUAAAGAUUUUCCCAGACAAGGUCGGGUGCAGUGGCUCACACCUGUAAUCCCAGCAUUUUGGGAGGCCGAGGUGGGUGGAUCACGAUGUCAGGAGUUCGAGACCAGUCUGACCAACAUGAUGAAACCCCGUCUCUACUAAAAAUAUAAAAAUUAGCCAGGCAUGGUGGCGCAGGCCUGUAAUCCCAGCUACUGGGGAGGCUGAGGCAGGAGAAUUGCUUGAACUCAGGAGGUGGAGGUUGCAGUGAGCAGAGAUCAUGCCACUGCACUCCAGCCUGGGUGACAGACCAAGACUCCAUCUCAAAAAAAAGAUUUUCCCAGACAAACAAAAGCUGAGGGAUUUCAUCAACACCAGACCUGUCCUACAAAAAAUGCUGAAGAGAGUACUUCAAUCAGAAAGAAAAGGACAUUAAUGAGCAAUAAGUAAUCACCUGAAGGUACAAAACUCACUGGUAUCAGAAAGUACACAGAAAAACAAAAAAUAUUAUAACCCUGUAACUUCCUUGUGUAAACUACUCUUAUCCUAAGUAGAAAAAUUAAAUGGCAAACCAAUAAAAAAUAAUAACUACAACAACUUUUCAAGACAUAGACAGUACAAUAAGAUAUAAACAACAAAAAGUUUAAUAGUUGGGGAGACGAUGUUAAGGCAUAGAGUUUUUAUUAGUUAUUUUUUUUGCUUGUUUGUUUAUGCAAAUAGGGUUAGGUUGUUAUCAGCUCAAAAUAAUGGUUUAUAAGAUAGUAUUUACAAGCCUCAUGGUAACCUCAAACCAAAAAAUAUACAACAGAUACACAAAAAGUAGAGCAAGAAACUAAAUCAUAUCACCAGAGAAAAUCACCUUCAUUAAAGGAAGACAAGAAAGAAGGAGAGAAAGAAGACCACAAAACAAUCAGAAAAUAAAUAAAGUGGCAAGAGUAGGUCCUUAAUUAUCAAUAAUAACAUUGAUGUAAAUGGACUAAACUCUCCAAUCAAAAGACAUAGACUGGCUAAAUGGAUGAAAAAAAAACCCACUGAUCUGUUGCCUACAAAAAAUACACUUCACCUAUAAAGACACACAUAGACUGAAAAUAAAGGGAUGGAGAAAGAAAUUCCAUGCCAAUGGAAACCAAAAAAGAGCAGGAGUAGCUAUGCUUUUGUCAGACAAAACAGAUUUUAAGACAACAACUAUAAGAAGAGACAAAAAAGUUCACUAUAUAAUGAUAAAGGGGUCAAUUCAGCAAGAGGAUAUAAGAAUUUUAAAUAUAUAUGUACCCAACAUUGGAGCACCCAGAUAUAGAAAGCAAAUAUUAUUAGAGCUAAUAAGAGAGAUAGGCCCCAAUAAAAUAACAGCUGGAGACUUAAACACCCCACUUUCAGCAUUAGAUAGAUCUUCCAUACAGAAAAUCAACAAAGAAAUACUGGACUUAAUCUGCACUAUAGACUGCAUGGAUCUAAUACAUAUUUACAGGACACUUCAUCCAAUGGCUACAGAAUACACAUUCUUUUCCUCAGCACAUGGAUCAUUCUCAAGGACAGACCAUAUAUUAAGUCACAAGACAAGUCUUAAAACAUUAACAAAAUUGAAAUAAUAUCAAGUAUCUUUUCUAACCACAACAGAAUAAAACUACAAAUAACAAAAGGAAUUUUGGAAACUAUACAAAUGUAUGGAAAUUAAAUAAAAUGCUCCUGAAUGACCAGUGGGUCAAGAAAGAAAUUAAGAAAGAAAUUUAAAAAUUUCUUGAAACAAAUGAUAAUGGAAACACAACCUACCAAAAUCUAAGAGAUACAGCAAAAGCAGUACUAAAAGAGAAUUUUAUAGCUUUAACUGCCUACUUCAAAAAAAAAGGAAAAACUUCAAAUAAACAAUCUAAUGAUACAUCUUAUAGAACUAGAAAAGCAAGAGCAAACGAAACCCAAAAUUAGUAGAAACAUAAAUAAAGAUCAGAGCAGAAAUAAAUGAAACUGAAAUAAAGAAAAUAAUACAAAAGAUCAAUGAAAAAGUUGGUUUUUCAAAAAGCUAAAAAAAAUUGACAAAACUUUAGCCAGAGAGAAGAUCCAAUAAAUAAAAUCAGAAAUGAAAAAGGAGACAUUACAACUGAUACUACAGAAAUUCACAUCAUUAUUGGAUACUAUGAGCAACUAUAUACCAAUAAAUUGGAAAAUAUAGAAGAAAUGGACACACACAACCUACCAAGAUUGAACCAGGAUGAAAUCCAAAACCUGAAUAGACCAAUAACAAGUAAUGAGAUCGAAGCUGUAACAGGAAGUCUCCCAGCAUAGAAAAGCCCAGGACCUGAUGGUUUCUGUAUUAGUCAGGUUCUCUAGAGGGACAGAACUAAUGGAAUGUAUAUGUGUAUAAAUAUAUAUAUACACACACACACAUAUACAUAUAUACAUAUAUAAUACAUAUAUUAAGUAUUAACUCACAUGAUCACAAGGUCCCACAAUAAGCCAUCUGCAGGUUGAGGAGCAAGGAGAGCCAGUCCGAGUUCUAAAACUGAAGAACUUGGAGUCUGAUGUUUGAGGGCUGCAAGCAUCCAGCAUGGGAGAAAGACAUAGGGUGGAAGACUAGGCCAGUCUCUCUUUUCACAUUUUUCUGCCUGCUUAUUCUAGCCCAGCUGGCAGCUGAUUAGAUUGUGUCCACCCAGAAUAAGGGUGGGUCUGCCUUUCCCAGCCCACUGACUCAAAUGUUAAUCUCCUUAACACCCUCACAGACACACCCAGGAUCAAUACUUUGUAUCCUUCAAUCCAAUCAAGUUGACACUCAUAUUAACCAUCACAGCUUCACUGUUGAAUUCUACCAAAUGUUUAAAGAAGAACUAAUACCAAUCCUACUCAAACUUUUCUGAAAAAUAGAAGAGGAAACAAUGCUUCCAAACUCAUCCUAUGAGGCCAGUAUUACCCUGAUAUCAAAACCAGACAAAGACACAUAAAAAAAAUUACAGGCCAAUAUCUCUAAUGAAUAUUAAUGCAAAACUCCUCAACUAAAAUACUAGCAAACCAAAUUCAACAACACAUUAGAAAGAUCAUUCAUCAUGACCAAGUGGGAUUUAUCCCUGGGAUGCAAGGAUGGUUCAACAUAUGCAAAUCAAUCAAUGUGAUGCAUCAUAUUAACAGAAUGAAAAAUAAAAACAAUAUGAUCAUUUCAAUUGAUGCUGAAAAAGCAUUUGAUAAAAUUCAACAUUGCUUCAUGAUAAAAACCCUUAAUAAACUGGAUAUAGAAGGAAUAUACCUCAACAUAAUAAGAACCAUAUACAGCAUACCCACAGCUAGUAUCAUACUGAAUGGGGAAAAACUGAAAGCCUUUCCUCUCAGAUCUGGAACACAACAAAGAUGCCUACUGUCACCACUGUUAUUCAACAUAGUACUGGAAGUUCUAGCUAGAGCAAUCAGAUAAGAGAAAGAUAUAAAGGGUAUCCAAAUUGGAAAGGAAGAAGUCAUAUUAUCCUUGUUUGUAGAUGAGAUGAUCUUAUAUUUGGAAAAAAACUAAAGACUCCACUAAAAAACAGUUAGAACUGAUAAACAAUUUUAGUAAAGUUGCAGGACACAAUAUCAACAUACAAAAAUCAGUAGCAUUUCUAUGUGCAAGAGUAAGCAAUCUGAAAAAGAAAAUUAAAAAGUACUCCCAUUUACAAUAGCCACAAAUAAAAUACCUAGAAAUUAACUCAUCCAAAGAAGUGAAAGAUCUCUAUAAUGAAAACUGUAAAACACUGAUGAAAGAAAUUGAAGAGGACACCAAAAAUGGAGAAAUUUCAUGUUCAUAAAUUGGAAGAAUCAAUAGUGUUAAAACGUCCACACUCCAAAGGAAUCUACAGACUCAAUGCAAUCCCUAUCAAAAUAUCCACGACAUUCUUCAUAGAAAUAGAAAAAAACCCUAAAAUUGAUAUGGAACCACAAAGAACCCAGAAUAGUCAAAGCUAUCCUCAGCAAAAAGAACACAACUGGAGGAAUCACAUUAUCUGACUUCAAAAUAUACCACAUAGCUUUACUAACCAAAACAGCAUGGUAUUACACAGAUACAAAACACAAAAACAGAUACACAGACCAAUGGAAUGGAAUAGAGAACCCAGAAACAAAUCCACACACCUACAGUGAACUCAUUUUUGACAAAGGUGACAAGAACAUAAACUGGGGAAAAGGCAGUCUCUUAAAUAAAUGGUGUUGGGGAAACUGGAUAUCCAUAUGCAAAAGAAUGAAACUAAACCCCUAUCUAUCACCAUAUACAAAAAUCAAAUCAAAAUGGAUUAAAGACUUUAAGACCUCAAACUAUGAAACUACUACAAGAAAACACUGGGGAAAAUCUCCAGGACAAAAAUUUACUGAGCAAUACCCCACAAGCACAGAUCCAAAGCAAACAUGAACGAAUGGGACCAAAUCAAGUUUAAAAGCUUCUGCACAGCAAAGGAAACAAUCAACAAAGUGAAAAGACAACCCAUAGAAAGGGAGAAGAUAUUUGCAAACUGGAGAUUAACAGCCAGAACAUAUAAGGAGUUCAAACAAUUCUAUAAAAAAUAACCUAAUAAUCUGGUUAUGGCAAAAUGGGCAAAAGACUUGAAUAGACUCGUUAUGUCUCAAAAGAAGACAUACAAAUCACAAACAGGGAUAUGAAAAGGUGCUCAACAUCACUGAUCACUAGAGAAACGCAAAUCAAAACUACAAUGAGAUAUCAUCUCACCCCAGUUAAAAUGGCUUUUAUCCAAAAGACAGGCAAUAACAAACACUGGUGAGGAUGUUGAGAAAAGGGAACCCUCAUACACUGUUGGUGGGACUGUAAAUUAGUACAACCACUAUGGAGAACAGUUUGGAGGUUCCUCAAAAAACUAAAAAUAGAGCUACCAUAUGAUCUAGCAAUCCCACUGCUGGGUAUAUGCCAAAAAUAAAGGAAAUCAGUAAUAUCGAAGAGAUAUCUGCACUCUCAUGUUUGUUGCAGACCAGAUCACAAUAGCUAAGAUUUGGAAGCAAUCUGUAUGUCCAUCAGCAGAAGAAUGGAUAAAGAAAAUGUGGUACAUACACACAAUGGAGUACUAUUCAGCCAUAAAAAAUGAGAUCCUGUCAUUUGCAACAACAUGGAUGGAACUGGCGAUCAUUAUGUUAAGUAAAAUAAGCCAGGCACAGAAAGGCAAAUACCGUAUGUUCUCACUUAUUUGUGUGAUCUAAAAAUCAAAACAAUUAAAUUCAUGGACAGAGAGAGUAGAAGGAUGGUUACCAGCGGCUGGGAAGAAUAGUGUGGCAGAGAGGUGGGGGAUAAAGGGGCAGUAGGGAUGGGUUAAUGGGUACAAAGAGAAAGAAUGAAUAAGACCUAGUAUUUGAUAGCACUCCAAGGUGACUACAGUGAAUAAUAAUUGUACAUUUAAAAAUAAUUAAAGAGUAUAAUUGGACUGUCUGUAACACAAAGGAUAAAUGCUUGAGGGAAUGAAUACCCCAUUUUCCAUGAUGUGAUUAUAAUGCAUUACAUGCCUGUAUCAAAACAUCUGAUGUAUCCCAUAAAUAUUACAUCUACAAUGUACCCACAAAAAUUAAAAAUAAAAGAUAAAAAAUUAUUGCAAAAAAUUACGUUUAUUGUAAAACUAAUGUAAGCCUAAAUUAAUAUCAAAAAAUAGGAGAGCUAACACUCUAAAUGUUGUUAGCCAUGGGUUUUUUUUUUUUUAAAAAAAAGAUGAAAAGUGUAUCUGAUUUGAAAAGAAGCUGGGGUGGGGGGAAGCAGAUUUAUCAAGAAAACAAUUUAAAAUAUUGGUUAAAUCUACUACUGCUAAAUGAGGUGCAUGGCUCUAAAUAUAUAGUACCAUAAGAUAUUUGCUAAUGACACUAUGAAGUCAUAACAUAAAGUUGCUGCAUUUGGCAAUUCAUUUUUUUAUUUUAAUUUUUUAAAAUAAAAAAAUAGAGAUGGGGUCUCACUAUGUUGGCCAGGUUGGUCUUGAACUCCUGGCCUCAAGCAAGCCUCCGGCCUUGGCCUCCCAAAAUGCUAGGAUUACAGGCAAUGAGCCACCAUGUCCAGCCUGGCAAUUCAUUUUUAAUAUCCUCAUCUAUCCCAUGCCUUAAAAUGUUCAUUUUAUCUGUUUCAUAAUAUACAUAUGGUUCAGCAUAUGAUAUGUAAAUGAAUACGUAUUUAGAGAGGGUAAAUGUUCUUUCAACUGUUGGGAACAAGUUAUAAAAAAUAUUUGGAACUACUUCCUUAUUGUUUCAGAGCUCCAACCACCCCUUAGCUGUGGUUGUUCUUUGUUGUCCUAACUGCUAUUAUAAACUUGUUAGCUUUAAAGAAAUUUAUGUUUGUUCCCCUGACCCCAACAAACAAACAGAAAAUACAGAAAAUGGAGUACAGUGGUGCGAUCUUGACUCACUGCAACCUCCACCUUGCAGGUUCAAGCAAUUAUCCUGCCUCAGCCUCCAGAGUAGCUGGGACUACAGGCACCUGCUACCAUGCCCGGCUAAUUUUUUAUUAUUAUUAUUUUUUAUUUUUAGUAGUGACAGGGUUUCACUGCGUUGGCCAGGCUGGUCUCGAAC